UACAGAGGCCCCAAGCGUUACUGAGAAUCACUGGGCUUAAAGGGUGCGUAGGUGGCGCGUUAAGUCCGUUGUGAAAUCCCUGGGCUCAACCCAGGAAUUGCUUCGGAUACUGGCGUGCUUGAGGCUAGUAGGGGUCACUGGAACUGACGGUGGAGCGGUGAAAUGCGUAGAUAUCGUCAGGAACGCCGAUGGUGAAGACAGGUGACUGGGCUAGUUCUGACACUGAGGCACGAAAGCGUGGGGAGCGAACGGG
rnacentral:rRNA from 1 species